ACACACGGAAAGGAGGUGGUCCGAAGAAUGAUUGCUUAUCGGACAUGUGAGGUGACGGCUAGCUAGCCGCUGCUAACGAUUCAGCUGGUCUGGAUCACUGGCCGAGCGGCCGGCGAAUCCACAGCCGCACACCCGAACCCGCGAGCGCCGGAGUUGUCCCCCGGCCGACGGACCCACCACCUCCCCGCGAGGACCGUUCUCC
rnacentral:sRNA from 1 species